GUGGGGAAUAUUGGACAAUGGGCGAAAGCCUGAUCCAGCCAUGCCGCGUGUGUGAAGAAGGUCUUCGGAUUGUAAAGCACUUUAAGUUGGGAGGAAGGGCAGUAAGUUAAUACCUUGCUGUUUUGACGUUACCGACAGAAUAAGCACCGGCUAACUUCGUGCCAGCAGCCGCGGUAAUACGAAGGGUGCAAGCGUUAAUCGGAAUUACUGGGCGUAAAGCGCGCGUAGGUGGUUUUGUAAGUUGGAGGUGAAAUCCCCGGGCUCAACCUGGGAACUGCCUCCAAAACUGCAUGACUAGAGUACGGUAGAGGGUAGUGGAAUUUCCUGUGUAGCGGUGAAAUGCGUAGAUAUAGGAAGGAACACCAGUGGCGAAGGCGACUACCUGGACUGAUACCGACACUGAGGUGCGAAAGCGUGGGGAGCAAACAGGAUUAGAAACCCCGGUAGUCC
rnacentral:rRNA from 1 species